AGCUCUCUAUCCAUUGAGCUACCUAGUGUGAAUUUUAAAUUCUCUCCAUCUUGCUUGGUCUAGCACCCAGGAAUGUGCACACCCACACUACACGGGCAUGUGCUAGCUAAUGACAAAUCAGAAACAACUAACUGCUCCCCCGGGCUGUCCUAAGCCAAGCUGGAGCCACUUUUAGUGGCUCAUGUGAGACGCAGGAAGUGAGGUAGAGAACAGCCUCUGGAGUUCUCGUCACUUCCUGUGGAGAUGGCAAGGCACCAGUUCUCAAGGAACUUAUUCUGAAACAUUCAGAUUGAGGAUUGAGCUGGUGAAGUCAGCUGAGAUGGAGCUGGCCUGGUGUCACUAGAAUCUUUGCUUGGACAGAUUUUGUGGCCUUUCCCAAAAGAGAUAUAUGUCACACUUUGGAAUUUCACUUCUCAUGCAGGCAUGAAGUUAUUCUGUCACCAAUUAGAAUCCACAAAGUGAAUUCCUUGCAGAAGAUACCAUGGAGAUGUCUACAGACCACAUACUGCUCCAGGAGAUCCUGAACAAAUCUUCUGAUGUGCAAAAUUGAACUUUUGAGGGGUUGAAUAUAUUUGUUUUAUAUGUACUUUGCAUGUUGUACCAAAGGGGCCUGUCCCUAAUUGAUUUUGUUCUUUUUCUCUUGUUUCCUUAUUGUCCCCAAGUUAUUGUAUAUUCCACUUUAAAAAAA
rnacentral:lncRNA from 1 species